rnacentral:rRNA from 1 species
CCUACGGGAGGCAGCAGUGAGGAAUAUUGGUCAAUGGACGCAAGUCUGAACCAGCCAUGCCGCGUGCAGGAUGACGGCUCUAUGAGUUGUAAACUGCUUUUGUACGGGGGUAAACCCCGAGACGUGUAUCUGGAUGAACGUAUCGUACGAAUAAGGCUCGGCUAACUCCGUGCCAGCAGCCGCGGUAAUACGGAGGAUCCGAGCGUUAUCCGGAUUUAUUGGGUUUAAAGGGUGCGUAGGCGGUUUGAUAAGUUAGAGGUGAAAUGUCGGGGCUCAACCCCGGAACUGCCUCUAAUACUGUUGUACUAGAGAAUAGUUGCGGUAGGCGGAAUGUAUGGUGUAGCGGUGAAAUGCUUAGAGAUCAUACAGAACACCGAUUGCGAAGGCAGCCUACCAAACUAUAUCUGACGUUGAGGCACGAAAGCGUGGGUAGCAAACAGGAUUAGAUACCCCUGUAGUC